UGGGGAAUAUUGCACAAUGGGCGCAAGCCUGAUGCAGCCAUGCCGUGUGUAUGAAGAAGGCCUUCGGGUUGUAAAGUACUUUCAGUCGGGAGGAAGGUGUCAAGGUUAAUAACCUUGGCAAUUGACGUUACCGACAGAAGAAGCACCGGCUAACUCCGUGCCAGUAGCCGCGGUAAUACGGAGGGUGCAAGCGUUAAUCGGAAUUACUGGGCGUAAAGCGCACGCAGGCGGUUGAUUGAGUCAGAUGUGAAAUCCCCGGGCUUAACCCGGGAAUUGCAUCUGAUACUGGUCAGCUAGAGUCUUGUAGAGGGGGGUAGAGUUCCAUGUGUGGCGGUGAAAUGCGUAGAGAUGUGGAGGAAAACCGGUGGCGAAGGCGGCCCCCUGGGAAAAGACUGACGCUCAGGUGCGAAAGCGUGGGGAGCAAACAGG
rnacentral:rRNA from 1 species